GAAAAUUCUUGCUUACACCAAUAGCAUUACACCAAGCCAAUAGAUGAGUGCCAAGUUUGGGUGAAUAACUAACAAUUGGAGUACAAGGCAAUAAUUCAUUGGCCAAGUAUAAAGCACUCCAGGUAUUUGGCACCCACCCAUUGGUUUGAUGUAAUGCUCUUGGUGUAAGCAAUACUUACCCUGUCUGUUAAGUAAACCAAUUGCGAAUGACUUCACAGCUGGACAUAUGAAAAUGUGGUGAAUUUUCUCAUUAGAAUUUCUUUAUUUACUAUGGGCAAUAUAGACCUUUACUAGAAUUUCUUUAUUUACUUACUGGAGGUAAGAGUGUUAAUUUAGACAACUUACUACUGACAGUUUCGGUUUCUUAUGGUGAAGAUUAUCUAUAAAAAAAGGGUCAUUGACAAAGAACUACACUGUGAUACCUAGAUUUUGUGGUUAUUUGAUAUUUUAUGUGAAUAAAUUCUUUGUAUCUUCAUUUUUUUUUUUGCCAUGUCAUUUAACCUGGAGUUUUAUGGUACUUUUAAGUGUCUGCUGAUGGUUUCCUGUUUGGGGUGUUGAUUAUUGAUAACUCAACUUUGCGUUAUUUUCCCUUUAGUAUUGUCUAGUGGCACUCACAUAACCAUCUCUGUUUCAGGUGCAGUUUCUCUCCUUAGUUGUAAACUGAACUUUAUUGCUUCAAGUAUUUCUUUUGAAUCUUGUUCAUCUUAAUUUGUUUAUGUAUUCUCUAUUUGAAUGAUUAUCUGCAACAAAUGUUAUGCAAGGAAAUAAUGCUAUGUUUUUCUCUCUCUCUUAAUGCUUCCUUUCCUGUCAUCGAUAGUUUGCUUGCCAGCAGUUGAAAUUUACCAUUAUUCUUUCCACACAGUAAUUUUCGAAGUAAGAUAUUUUUCUUGAUAUUUCUUGAAUGCCU
rnacentral:misc_RNA from 1 species